rnacentral:snRNA from 1 species
GUGCUUGCUUUGACAGCACAUAUACUAAAAUAGAAAUGAUACAGAAAAGAUUAGCAUGGCCCCUGUGCAAGGAUGGCACACAAAUUUGUGAAGCAUUCCAUACUUUU